GACGAACGCUGGCGGCGUGCUUAACACAUGCAAGUCGAACGGAAAGGCCCUUCUUUUGUGGGGUGCUCGAGUGGCGAACGGGUGAGUAUCACGUGAGUAACCUGCCCUUGACUUUGGGAUAACUUCAGGAAACUUGGGCUAAUACCGGAUAGGAGCUCCUGCUGCAUGGUGGGGGGUGGAAAGUUUCGGCGGUUGGGGCUGGACUCGCGGCUUAUCAGCUUGUGGGUGGGGUAGUGGCUUACCAAGGCUUUGACGGGUAGUCGGCCUGAGAGGGUGACCGGCCACAUUGGGCCUGAGAUAGGGACCAGACUCCUACUGGAGGCAGCAGUGGAGAAUCUUGCACAAUGGGCGGAAGCCUGAUGCAGAGACGCCGCGUGCGGGAUGACGGCCUUCGCGUUGUAAACCGCUUUCGCCUGUGACGAAGCGUGAGUGACGGUAAUGUGUAAAGAAGCACCGGCUAACUACGUG
rnacentral:rRNA from 1 species